ACAAUCACACAUGCAUGCACACACAUGCACAUUCACACACGUACAUAUUCACACACAUACACAUUCACACGUGCAUUCUCACAUUCAACUCAGCCACACACAUUCACACACAUGCAUAUUCACACACUCUCAGUCACACACAGCCACACACAUUCACACACUCACAGUCACACACGGUCACACACAUGCACACAGCCACAUUAACACACAUGUACAUUCACACAGUCACAGCCACACAAUCUACACACAUGCACACAUUAACACACAUUCACAGAAUCUACACACAUGCACACAUUCACACACAUUCAGUCAUACACAGUCACACAGUAACACACACAUUUAC
rnacentral:lncRNA from 1 species